rnacentral:lncRNA from 1 species
CCGUCCCAAACGAACCCUAGAUUAUUAGUUAGCUAUACAUUUUUUGUUUCUUAGCCUCGUAAAUGAUCAUAGUAUAAUAGUUGACUAACAUGAAAUCACAAAUUAUGAUGUUGUGAUUUAUUUAUUUUUGUUCAUUUACAAUUGGCGUUGGGUACACUGCUUGCUUGAACAGUUGUACUUCUCCAUGGACCCAAUAAGGUGAAAAUUGUAAUAUCCAUAUCCUACUAUAAUUGGGAGGCUCAUAAAAUCUACCUCCUUUCUUUUUUUAUAGAAAUAAAAUCUCUCCUUGUGUCGGCAAAAUAAUAAUCAUUUUGUCAAAACUUUGGUGGGGAAGGACUAUUUGGUGGGUACUUCCAAAAAGGCUCCUAUGACUUCUCCUUCUGCAGAAUAAACAUCACACCCAUAUUUCUCAACCCCCCAAACCAACACCAUGGCCAUCAAAAACAACCCAACCAAGCAAAGACAAGAAAGAAGAACCCUAAAGCUGGUCUCCAUUCAAACUUGGAAGCUGCCCAGCAAGAGCUUAACUUGAACAAAGAGAGAGAUCAAGAUGACGAAAAGAGCUCUUCCUCUGCCCUGCUGUUUGUUUGGUAUUAGUUUAGAGAGAAUAUGUAGGGUUUGAAAUUGCAGGAUGGAGCUUACCUUCAUUGUGAAGUUCUCAGCAGCCCACCUUCCUUUUUAAAUGCUUCUGCUUUUUUUAUUGUUACAUUUGCAUAUAUCUGAGAUUCCCAAUUUUUUUUCUUUGCUUUGAUUCUUAUUCCUAGAGGUUUUGAUAAGUCAUCUCUUGCUUACUUCAUCGAGCUUAAUAAUGUUCUGCUUCGAGAAUAAUCUACUGUUAAUUAAGCUCUGCUUUGAGAAUAAUCUACUUUGGAGGCAUUACCAUAUAUGCCUAAUUUAGAUUGUCUUGGUGGGUGGUGAUUGUUCAUUUUGGGAUGGUUGGGAUAAAGAAAACUUAAGUGCAUCUCUAGGACUAUGGCAAUGUUUGAAUCGAAAGUAUAUAAGGUGAUUUUUUUUAAAAAAAAUUGGUAAUUUCAUAUUUCUCAUGCAUAGGGGAUUUUCAUUAAUUCUUUUAUUAAUUAAAGAACAGAUUGUCGAUAUGAUAUUGAUAAGAUGUUGUUAUUAUUGUCAAUAACAAAAUAUACGAUACAAACUAAAACAAUAUAAUUAUGAUGUUUUUAGGAAAAAUUAAGCAUUUUUAGUUGAAAUAUAAUUAGAUAACAAUUUAAAAUAAAGUACUUAUCCACAUUCAACAUAAUAAUAAACUAACAAAACGUUUCAACUUUUUAUUACAUUAGAGAUAAGAAUUGCACUAUAUUGGCAAGUUGAUGACAAGAUGCAUGUGCACCACCAUAGCUAAUUAAAUUUGUUCUUAUCAAGAAGAUGCAAAUAAAUCAUUAACGUUUCAAUUCGCAACAACCCAUAUUUUGCCGAGAUAUUAUUAAGUUAAGAUAGAGGAGUCAACUCUAGCAAGAAAAUCUCAAAACUUAAAAACCACGGUCAACUGACCCAGCGUGACAAGCAAUUCUGUCAUUCUGUAAAAUGAGCAAGGGUAAGUCCGUCAUUUCAUGUAAAGGAAAAUACAGCAGGCAACCACCGCCCCCUUUUUCCCGUAAAUAAGGCCCCAAACCAUGGGCAUUUUGGUCACGACGAUGAGAACACAGGCGGGGGCCAAAGUGAAAAAGAAAAAGUUUGAUUGAUUAGGGAAUAGGAAAGUAGAAACCAAUUAGAAAAAGUAAAAGAUUUGAUAUAAAUAAGGGUUAUAAAAGAAAAUAAAUAAAAAAAUGAGUCACCAAAAUAAAAAAAAAGGAUUUAUUUCUAAUUUUUUUAAAAAGAAAUUAUAUUUAUUUUCGGACGCGAAUUGAGAUUGAAAUAGAGUUUAAUAGGGGUGUUGAGAUCCGGAUGCCAGUCUCUCUCUCAAGGCUCUCUUUGUCCCUUAUCGGCUCACGGUUCUCACUUUCUCGCCCCACAGGCAGAUUUUCUUGAAGCCAGGAAAGAGAAAGAAAGAGAGGAAAAUUUUCUUCAGAGGAAGAGAAGGCAGCCGAACGACGACGAGGCGGAUAACAAGAGCAAACCCUAGGAGAGUCAUCGUCUCCCAUGGCUCACUAAACUCCGCCUAUGCUUUGUUUCGUCCACGAUCUGGUUUCGAAACCCUAGGGCAACCAACCUUGGCUGCGGCGCAGGCUCGAAAGGCUCUUCUACGAUUUGGUUUGCAGAAAACCCUAGAUUCAGUACGGUACGGAUAGGCAGCUGUGAGCUCUGUUGUUUUUGGGGCGUGGAAAGGCGAAGACUUUGGUGGGCAUACGGCCGAGAGAGAUCUUGGCGGUGGUGUUUGGGGUUUAGAAUUAGGGUUGUGAAGGUGUGGCUGCCCAUGCGAUUGGGUUGAUUUUGAUGCCGCCAGAACCAUUGCCUUGGGAUCGGAAAGACUUCUUCAAGGAGAGGAAGCACGAGAGGUCGGAGUCCCUUGGCUCUGUGGCACGAUGGAGGGACUCGCCCCAUCAUGCACCUCGCGACUUCAAUCGUUGGCCUUCAGCCGAUUUUCGCAGACCACCAGGUAUUUGUCUAUCAUAUUAUCAAUAAUCUCUCUUGUGCCUCUGUUUCUCUGCGGGCUAUUUAGAAUUAGAAUUCUUGGCUUCUGAUAAAUAUGUAUAUGCACACAAACAUAUGUUUCAUUAAUUUGCUGUUCUAGGGUUGUAAAUAACUUUUUGAACGGGUUGGGCUUGCUAAAACAACAAACAAAGAGAAGGGUCGGACAGACUUGAUCUUUAGCCUUAUGAUUCUUUCAUCCGUGAGCGGUUUGGGGUUUUUUCUUAUGAAUUUUUUUUUGACAAAGGGUUUUUUCUUAUGAUUCAACACAGCUAAUUUUGUUGUUUCAGUCUUUUUUUUUUUUCGGAUUUCAUAUCAUAUCCUUCACAAGUAUCGUUUAGAUCUGCCAACUUUCUGAGAUCUGUUAUGGGAAAUAUAUAUUCUUUUUUUCCUUUAAUUUUUCUGGAAAAAAUGGUUUUUGCCUUCUUUCUGUUUUGUUCGAAAUAAACCUUACUUGAGUUUUGUUUGGUCUGAAUACUUUGCUUGAGUUGAUUGUUUUUCUUUCCUUUCCUUUUAAAUAUUUUCUGAAGGUCAUGGUAAGCAGGGUGGUUGGCACCUAUUUUCCGAGGAUUCUGGUCAUGGCUAUGCAUCUUCUCGGUCUGGUGAUAAGAUGCUGGAAGAUGAGAGCUGCCGACCAUCAUUUUCGCGUGGAGAUGGAAGGUAUGGUAGGAACAGCAGGGAUAACAGAGGGUCUUACAGCCAGAGGGAAUGUAAAGGUCAUUCUUGGGAAACCAGCAGUGGGUCUCCAAACACACCGGGCAGGCCAAAUGACGUGAUUAAUGAACAAAGGACGCAGGAUGAUAUGCUGACAUACUCAUCUCAUCAGCAUUCUGACUUUGGAAGCACAUGGGAUCAGAUUCAAUUGAAAGACCAGCUUGAUAGAAUGGGCGGUUCUACUGGUCUAGGUGCUGGCCAGAAAUGUGAGAGAGAGAACUCGUUAGGCUCAAUUGAUUGGAAGCCCCUUAAAUGGACGCGGUCUGGAAGCAUGUCUUCUCGGGGUUCAGGUUUCAGCCAUUCAAGUAGCUCAAAGAGCAUUGGGGCCAUUGAUUUCAAUGAAGCAAAGGUUGAGUCACAGCCAAAAAAUGCCACUCCGGUGCAGUCUCCUUCAGGAGAAGCUACUACCUGUGUGACAUCUGCUGCCCCAUCAGAGGAAACAACUUCUAGGAAGAAGCCGCGCCUUGGAUGGGGUGAGGGAUUGGCAAAGUAUGAGAAAAAGAAAGUCGAGGUCCCUGAUGGAAGCAUGAACAAAGAUGGGGCUGUUUGUUCUGUUGGUAACAUGGAGCCGGUCCAUUCUCUGAGUUCAAAUUUGGCUGAUAAAAGCCCUAGAGUUACAGUAUUCUCAGAUUGUGCAUCUCCUGCAACUCCAUCCUCUGUAGCUUGCAGUUCCUCUCCAGGUAUAUUGUUGCAUCCUUACAUUCCCUUCACAUGUUACCCUAUCUUAAAUUGUGACCUGAUAUGUGAGUGGAUUUUGACAAGAUUUGUGUUUUAAAAUCUGUAAUGUGGUGUUGGCAUUAUUGCUUACUUAUUAAUGCAAGUCAAAUAGAAGUUAGUAUGAGAUUCAGUUGAUAUAACUACUCGUUGCUAGAAUGUGGGCGACCAAAUCCUCUCCUUGACAAGGAACAUCAUACAUGAUGCUUUUCUCAUCUUGACAUAUUAUUAUCAAUGUGUUGGUUUAGUGGAAUGGGAAGGGCCUGAAGGUAGAAAAUUAGGAAGUAAGGAUUUUAAAACCUUUUCUCCUGGGUUGUCCUUCUCAGUGGUUUUAGGUUGUAGUCUAAGUAAUUAUACCAAGUAUUUUGCUUUUGUAGUAUUAUGUGUUCUUAUUUUUUAAUUUUUUAAUUUUUGCUACCACACAUUCUUUUUGAUACCACACAUUCUUUUUGAAACCUUCACAUAUCUUAGUUUUUACAAAAAAAUGCAUUAUAUAUAUUUUUCUGUUGGUAAGUUAUCUGUUGUCUUGCUAUUUUUAUGCAUUCCAUAUUGUUAUGUUUAUCUCUCCCUUACACAUAUAUGUUAUAGGUGCAGAAGUUUUAUGAUUAUAUCAUUGUUGCAACAGGUGUGGAGGAGAAAUCAUUUGGCAAGACAGCAAAUGUUGACAACAAUAAUAGAAACUUUUGUGGUUCCCCUAGUCCUAUGUCUCAGAGUCAUCAUGAGGGAUUCACAUUCAAUUUGGAAAAGUUGGAUUGCAAUUCUAUAGCUAAUUUGGGCUCAUCACUACGGGAAUUGCUUCAAUCUGAUGACCCAAGUUCAGUGGAUUCUGGUAUUGUGAGGCCUACUGCAAUGAACAAGUUACUUAUAUGGAAAGGUGAAAUUUCGAAGGUGUUGGAAGUGACAGAGUCAGAAAUUGAUUCACUUGAAAACGAGCUUAAAGUAUUGAACUCUGAUUCUGGGGCCAGCUGUCCACGUCCAGCAACUUCUAGUUCUUUGCCUGUGGAGGACAAUGAUAAAUCUUUCAAAGAACAGGUUACUGUCACAAAUUUGAUCACUCGGCCUGCUCCAUUACAAAUUCAUUCUUCUGGGGACGCUGAUGUGGAGAAGAUGUGUCUUGGUAAUGGUGACCAGGUAGAAUUUUGUGGUAUUGUUAAGGAUGAGGAUAUUGAUAGUCCUGGAACAGCGACGUCGAAAUUUGUUGAACCAUUACUAAAGGUGGUUUCUUCAUCGGAUGUGAUGAGUCACAAUGAUUGUUCUGGGGAUUUGGAUCCAAUUGAAACGACCAAAGGGGAAGCAAAAUGCCUAGUGCCAGGAAAGGAUGAAGUAAAGACUGACCUGUCUGCUUGUGGAAAUAGUAGCAUGCUUUUGGGUAGUGAGAUAGUUGCACCUGUUUCUGGUGGUUUGGGUUUUUGUUUUAGUGUAGUUGAUACGAUAUGCAAUUCUAUAUGUUCUUCCAAUAAAGAAUCUGCAAAUAGAUCAUUUGAAGUAUUUAAUAAGCUGUUACCAAGAGAGCACUACAAGGUUGAUAUAUCUGGAGUUAGUAUUUCCUCAUCCGGGAAGAAUGAUUCGUUGAUCAAAGAGAAGUUCGCCAUGAGGAAGCGGCGUUUAAGGUUUAUGGAGAGAGUCUUAACCUUAAAAUAUAAAGCCUUUCAACACCUGUGGAAGGAAGACUUGCGUUUGCUUUCCAUACGAAAAUAUCGUCCGAAGUCUCACAAAAAAUUUGAAUUAAGCUUGCGAGCAACAAAUAAUGGGUAUCAGAAGCAUCGCUCUUCUAUUCGAUCUCGUUUUUCUACACCUGGUAAGUAAAUCUUUCUUCUUUAUCUGUUUAUUGCCAUAUUUUUCUCAACCUCAUGUGUUCUUUCUAUGAGAUUGGAAUAAAGUGCUUGGUUUAUAUGCGUUGAGUCUGUCAAUGUUGAUAUGCUGUGAUAUCAGAACAAGAAAAAUGAAAGAAAACAGUUCUGUUGUUGAUGGAUAUGGGUGUAGGGGGACUUUAGUUUAUAUUUUCAAUGCCGCUUCAGCUUUCUUGUUUUAUUAUUUCUGUGCUCUGUGUUGCAUUUGAUUUUAUUUCUCUUAGUGUUUGAACAUGGUUAUGGAAUAUUAAUUAUGCUUGAGGAACUGGUAAUGCCUCCUUUAUGCCUUUUUUAUGUUUCAAUAUUGUUGUCUUAUGGUAUGCUGGUAACAAAACAAGAAAAAUGAAAAAAACCAGUUCUGUUCUUGAUAGUAAUCAAGUGAUUAACUUUGACGAUUAAUGCAUUAUUCUUGCCUAGGAGGCAUGCAUGCUGACCUCUGGUGACAUGGUUCUCACUAAUUUUCCCUGUAUUAACAUUAGUGGUUAGUACUGGGAAAAAAAUAGAAUUCGAUGCUUUGUGAUUUUUGUUGGUGUAAUCCUUUGAGAACAAAUAUCUCCGCAUUUUUGUUAUGUUAAACAUUUUUUGAUCACAUUUUUCAUAUUUUUUUUUUUCAGCAGGAAAUCUGAGCUUGGUCCCGACUACAGAGAUCAUUAAUUUUACCAACAAGUUGCUGUCAGAUUCCCAAGUCAAGCGUUAUAGGAACUCAUUGAAGAUGCCAGCCUUAAUCUUGGACAAGAAGGAGAAGAUGGUGACGAGGUUUAUUUCUAGUAAUGGCUUAGUUGAAGAUCCCUGUGUUGUUGAGAAGGAAAGGGCAUUGAUGAACCCAUGGACGCCAGAAGAGAAAGAGCUGUUCAUUGAAAAGCUUACCACAUGCGGGAAGGAUUUCAGAAAAAUUGCUUCUUUUCUUGAUCAUAAGACGACUGCUGACUGUGUUGAGUUCUACUACAAACAUCACAAAUCUGUUUGUUUUGAGAAAACAAAGAAGAAGGCUGAUAUGACUAAGCAAGGAAAGUCUUCAGCUAAGACCUACCUAAUUUCAAAUGGGAAAAAAUGGAAUCGUGAGAUGAAUGCUGCAUCCCUUGAUAUUUUAGGUGCUGCUUCUGCAAUUGCAGCUCAUGCCGAUGGUAGCACAAGAUCUCGACAGGCAUUUUCAGGAAGGUUAUAUUUGGGAGGGUACAGGAAUACUAAUCCAUCACGAGGUGAUGACACCACUGUCGAAAGGUCUUGCAGUUUUGAUGCUAUUGGGAAUGAAAGAGAAACAGUUGCUGCUGAUGUUUUAGCAGGUAUAUGUGGCUCGCUGUCAUCUGAGGCUGUGAGUUCUUGCAUCACUAGUUCUAUUGAUCCUGGUGAGGGUUACCGAGAAUGGAAGUGCCAGAAAGUGGAUUCGCUAGCAAGGCGACCUUUGACGCCUGAUGUUAUGCAGAAUGUUGAUGAUGAGACUUGCUCAGAGGAAAGUUGUGGAGAAAUGGAUCCUUCUGACUGGACAGAUGCAGAGAAGUCUAGCUUUAUACAGGCAGUGUCAUCCUAUGGCAAGGAUUUUGCUAUGAUCUCACGAUGUGUUCGAACGAGGUCCCAACAUCAAUGCAAGGUUUUCUUUAGUAAAGCUCGAAAGUGCCUUGGGCUUGAUUUGGUACAUCCUGUGGCUGGAAAUGGAACAUCUGUUGGUGACGAUGUUAAUGGAGGUGGGAGUGAUACUGAAGAUGCCUGUGUUCUGGAAACUGGUUCAGGUAUUUCCAGUGAUAAGUCAGGGUGUAGAAUGAAUGAGGACAUGCCGUUGUCUGUCAUUAACAUGGAUGAUGAAUCUGAUCCUGCAGAGACCAUGAAUUUGCAAACAGGUCCACUUAGAUCAGAGGAAAAAAAUGUAAUGGGACAAUUAGAUCAUGAAGGUGGCAAGACACUCAAAUCUCUGGCGUCUGAUGCAGUAGAGACGGAGGAUAGGCCUAAUCUAGUUUUGGAUGAUGCCGAUUGUGUAAGAGAUGCCCAGAAAAGUCGAGUAUUCUCUGCAGAUGCUCUGAAAGAUGAUGCGGCUGAAGAGGGAAUAUUAAUUGCAGAAUCAGAACCUGUUGGUGGGGGAAUCAACUUUGACCCAACUAAUCCUGGCAUGGAUGGGGAAAAAUUGAUGGGUGAACUUCCUUCUGAUGGCAAUACAGAUACAAGCAGAUGCAGCCUACCAGGUUCAGUACACGAUUCUAAUUCAAGUGGCAAUGCUUCUGCCCUGGCUGGUGGUGGUUCUUGUUCAGGUUUCAGUCUUAACCCCGAGUGCCUGCAUCAAGUUUCUGUGGGGCUGAAUUCUAUGCAAAAGCCUUCUGUCAUCUCAAUGCCACAUGAGAAUCGUCAUGCUCCUGCAGAUUCUGUCUCACCAGAUUCUGCUAAAAUUGAAUGCGAAAAAGCCUUUAACCAAGAUAUUUUGUCGUCAACCCUGGAUCUACAGGAGGGUAGAGAGCCUAAAUCUGUUGGGAUAGAUGAGUGUAACAAGCACUUACCCGGUCUUCCAAUAUAUACAAAUGUUGAAUCCUCCCAGGUUCUCAAGGGCUAUCCAUUGCAAAUGCCAACCAAGAAAGAUACUAAUGGGGAUGUAACGUCUGGUAAUUUAUCUGAAGUUCAAAACUUUUCAAAGCCAGACAGGAAGAUCAAUGGUCAUUAUAUGACGAAAGAUGGCUUUCUUCAAUUUGGUAACUGUAAGCCGCAAUGUUCAGAGGUUGAUUUUCCCCUUGCUCCCCGAAAGGUAGAACAACCAGUUGGCCCUCCAAAAGCCCAUUCAUGGAGUUCGUCAGAUUCAGAUAAACCAAGCCGGAAUGGUGAUGUGAAACUGUUUGGCAAAAUACUCAGCAAUCCAUCAUCCCUGUCCAAGUCAAGUUCCAACAUCCAUGAGAAUGAAGAAAAGGGAGCUCACAACCAUAAGUUAAGCAACACGUCAUCUAACCUAAAAUUCACCGGGCAUCACAAUGCUGAUGGAAAUUCUUCUCUCCUGAAGUUUGAUUGUAGUAGUUAUGUGGGGAUUGAGAAGGUUCCCAGGAGGAGUUAUGGCUUUUGGGAAGGGAAUAAAGUGCAUGCUGGUUAUCCAUCUUUUUCUGAUUCAGCUAUCUUGCUGGCCAAGUACCCUGCAGCAUUUGGCAACUUCCCUACUACCUCUUCCAAAAUGGAACAGCAGCCAUUGCAGGCGGUUGUCAAGAACAACGAUCGGAAUAUUAAUGGUGUAUCAGUUUUUCCUUCCAGGGAAAUUAGUGGCAGCAAUGGAGUUGUGGAUUACCCGGUGUUCAGUAGGAGUCGGGAUGGUGCUAAAGUGCCCCCAUUUACAGUAGAUGUGAAGCAGCAGCAGCGGCAAGACGUAUUUGAUAUGCCAAGACGAAAUGGGUUUGAUACAAUUUCGAGUUUACAGCAGCAAGGAAGGGGGAUUGUUGGGAUGAACGUAGUAGGGAGGGGAGGGAUCCUUGUAGGGGGUCCAUGUACUGGUGUUUCAGAUCCUGUUGCUGCCAUAAGAAUGCAUUAUGCAAAAACCGAACAGUAUGGGGGGCAGCCGGGGAGCAUGAUUAGGGAGGAAGAGUCCUGGAGAGGAGGUAAGGGUGAUGUAGGAAGGUAGUAGAUGUUGCAGAGGGCCUUUGAGGCCCUCAGCGGCAAAUUAUUUAUUUGCUGCGCCCUGUAUAAUAGGUUUUUUUGUGUUCAGUCAGUGACAUGAUAGGGCAAUGGACGGUUUAAAGUCCCCGUCUUUUUGGUAAAAUGCUUUUUAGGUGCUUGUAAUAUUGCAGCAGCUUUGUAUUUGUUGUAUUUUAUGGAAAAUACAGAAAUAAACUGCAAAAGUUGGGAGGGAUGGAUUUAUUCCAGUUCACGAGCUCUCAUCUGACGUCUCUCCCUUGGACUUUUUUACAUAUUUUCUCCAUGAUUUGUUUUAUGUGUUUUACUUUACUUGGGGAGUGAGACGUCACUCAUUCUUUUAUCAACCAACUUCUGGGUUUGGUAAAACUCCCUUUUUUUUUUUUCAGUAUAAAAAUCUCAAAAUUUGCUUUGGCAUGGUUCUCUAAGGGGAAAAUUAACUCUGGGCAAAUACAAGGGUAUGUAUGCGUCUAUACUUCCAAGUCUUGGUAAGGAAAGUCUUCAAGGAAACCUGUUGAAUGAGCACUUUCCAUCUGCAGCAUUCUUGAUAUUGGUAGUAGUGCUAAUAAGUUCCUCGGUUUCUUGCCGAGUUCGGAGAAUAGCCGGAAGUGGUGCUGUAACUUUGAUUACCUGCAAAUAGAUACCAAAAACUUGACUAUUAUAAAAAAUAGAAGAUGCACAGCAUCCUUGAAUAGAAGUAGCAAUCGUUGUUUUAAACCUUUACCUCAUUGGAUGAUGGGUGAGAGAGAAUCACUUGAUGGGCAUGCAAGUUGUAGCCACAAUCUCCUGGAACAGGUUUUGUAGGCCUCAGGAAUCCUCUGCAUGCAAUGUGAAAUAAAAUGCAACUCGUAUCAAAAUGGAGAAAAAAAAUAAAUUAACGUUCUUUUAAUAUCAAUAUAAGCUUUUUACAUUGAAAAACGCCAAAAGAAACCAUGCAAAUUCCUCCAUGAUAGUGUUGAUAAUAUGGUGAGCAUUCACAAUCAUGUUCCUUAUUUUUUUAGUUAAAAUUUAGCUAAAAACACUAGAAAGGUAUUUUAGGAGCUUCUUAUAAAAUUUCAACCCCAACCAUGGUCUCUAGUUUAUGGAAUCAUAAAUGAUUUAUUUAUUUAUUUAGUUCAGCAUAAAUGCUCCCUCUUCAUAUAAAAUAAUAAUAAAAAAUAGUUAGCAUUAAAUAAUUACUUAAAAUAGCAUUAAAGUAAAGCAACAUUUAAUUAUAGGGAGCUACUAGGAGUCCUUUCUCUCUCCUCAGAUUUAGGAGCUCCUAGAGGUCUCCAUAUUUUAGGACUUGAAUAGAGAGCAUGGAUGGAACUUGGAGGUGGUUUUUCUCACUUCCUCCUUGAAUUUUAUCUAAGGAGGUGGUUUAGGGAGUCUAUUGUGGAUGCUUUAAUAGUAUGAUGAAAAAACAAAUGCUCUAUAUCACAAUAACUGCAUACCCAUCAUCUGCAAAACUCUCAUCUACAAAGUCAGAAUCUAAGCACUUUGGUUGUCCACCAAGAACAUAAAGAGGAUCUCCUGUUAAAAAAAAAGGGGGGGAUUUCUUUAGCAUUCAACUAGUCCAAGCAAUAAUACAGCUAAUUCACAACUACAGUAGAUAUGUAGGUGCAACCCCAAACUGCACCUUGCAAAUUAACAAAUAUGUGGGAAAUGAGGAUGUGGGGUUUCUCAAACCCAGGGCCUCCUAGAACCAGAGUUUGAUUAAAAAGUUUACCUAACAAAGGAUGUCCUAUGUAAGAAAGAUGGAUACGAAUUUGGUGUGGCCUUCCUGACUGAAUCUCAACCUGUUAAACAUAUCAGUGCGCUAUAGUAAGUUCUAAAAUUCCAAAAGAAAACAAAAAGACAACGAAAAAGAAAAAAACACAACCUGACUUCCUUGCCCAUCGUAAAUUUCAGAUAUCUUUUUUGUACUUAUCAUAAUCAUUAGGUUUAAUUUAAUUCUUGUGGUUAAUAGAAAAUCAAGUUGACCUUCGAAUGGGGGCUUGGGGAUGCGAAGUGGGGGCUUGGCCUAUGUCGUAUUUGGGUCUUCCCCUAGGAGGGAACCCCAGGGCGAUAAAGUUUUGGGAUCCCGUUGUGGAAAAGGUGGAGAAUAGAUUACAAAAAUGGAAGCGAGCUUGCCUAUCCAAAGGGGGAAGACUCACAAUGAUUCAGGCUGUAUUGUGUAGUAUUCCGAUCUACUACAUGUCCCUUUUCAGGAUUCCCAUUGGAGUAGCCAAUAGAAUCGAGAAGCUUAUGAGGGAUUUCUUGUGGGAAGGUUUGGAUGGGAAAAGAAACCACGCUGUGAGUUGGGAGGUUGUGGGCAAGGCAAAAUUCUGUGGAGGGUUAGGGGUGGGUUCGUUGAGGGCUAGGAGUGCGGCUUUGCGGGAAAAAUGGCUUUGGCGGUUUCCUAAUGAACCUCAUGCUCUUUGGCAUAAAGUGAUCAGAAGUAUUUAUGGAAUGGAUACAAAUGGGUGGGAUGCUAAACCUGCGACUCGGGGAUCUUGUCGCAGCCCUUGGAGGGACAUUUCUAGCGGCUAUAAUUUGUUUCUUCAAGGCUGUGUUUUCAAGGUAGGUUGUGGAGUUAGGGUCAGAUUUUGGGAGGAUGAUUGGAGCCGGGGUGGUGUUUUGAAAGAGGUGUUUCCUAGACUCUUCAAUUUGUCCAGAAAGCAAAAUCACAAUAUUUCCUCUUUUACGGGCUUAGAUGGGUUCCCUCUCAGUUGGGAUUUCGGUUUCAGGAGGAAUCUCAAUGAAUUGGAGAUAACGGAGGCGGCUAGAUUGCUGGAUUUAUUGGAGGGUGUGAGGGUGAUCACUUCCAGAUUGGAUAAGAGAAGAUGGAAGCUUGACCCCUCUGGUCUCUUCACCUGUCAUUCUUUCUGUUCUCAUAUUCAGAAUCGUGAUGAGGGGGAGAUAUUCUCCCCGUACACUCAAAUUUGGAAGGCCAAGACUCCUCCGAAAGUUAAGAUCUUUGUGUGGCAAGCGGUGUUGGGAAAACUAAAUACAGGUGAUACAUUACAGAGACGUUGUCCCUAUUUGUGCAUUAGCCCUCACUGGUGUGCUCUAUGUAAUAAGGCAGGGGAGAGCGUGGACCAUAUCCUGAUUCAUUGCCCUUUCUCUCUAAAGUUGUGGGAGACACUAUUGAAGGAAGUUAACUCGGUGUGGGUAAUACCAAAAGGCUGCUUUGAACUUUUUUCCAUCAGAUUUGAUGCUUUGGGAAGGGGAAAGAAAGCCAAAAUUCUCUGGGGAAGUCUGAUGCAGGCAGUGGUUUGGAACCUAUGGAUGGAACGUAACAGGAGAAUUUUUGAGGAUUAUAAGGGAGUGGGAGUGGCAGAGUUAUGGGAUAGAGUGAAGUUUUGGGCAGCCCUUUGGGCAUCAACUUCCCCUGCCUUUAAGGAUGUACCCUAUCCUAUAAUUAUGCGCAAUCUGCUGGCUGUAGUAUCUUAAGGGUUUGUUUUAUGGUUGGUUGGUUGUUUAUGUGUUGAGUGGCCUUGUGUCUGUUUCACCGGCUAGUGUUUUUUCUUUUUACCUGCGUGCUAAAUGGCCUUGUUUUGAUCCUUCAUUUGAAUAAAAAUGUUUCUAUUCAAAAAAAAAAAAAAAAAAAAAAAAAAAGUUGACCUUCGAAUGUUGGUUUAUGUUUCAUCCCCAGAUUCCCUCCCUUCCAUACAACAGUAUUGCUAACAUGGUGUUCGAUUUAAGCUAUCAAUAAAUUUAUCAUUCAUGAAAACAAAACAGAUGGAUAUAAUCAUAUAAGAAAAGCCUAUAUAUGUAUUCUGUAGUUUAAACUGGUAAAACUGGGGUACCUGGACCAGUGUUUGGUUUUUAUGAAUUCCUCUCUCAAGAACUUCAACUUUACUCAGAGCUGGUUUUCCUGGUUACGUGAAAAAAUUACAGAGAGGGAUAAGUAUGAUGGGAUAGAAUAGAUUGUUUUCUGCAUGAGACACUCAAGGGAAAGGGUGACCGGUGCAAGAUAACACAGGCAUGACUUAAAGGUUGCCAUUUUCUUUCUAAAUCACGGUGUAGCAAUUGGAGGGAGCUUACAGAAAUCAAAAUUCAUUCACUACAUUAGAGAAUGCAAAUAUACCUGUGGGAGAAGCAACAUACAGCCCUUUAGCCACACCAGGAUAUCGCACCACUCCAAUUGGCUGUUUGACAAUUACCUAUAGUAAUUUCACAUCAAUCACACAAUCUAUUUGCAUGUAUAGUUGGAGUAAAUAUCCUUGAAGAAGAGAGCCAAAAAAUAAACAAAAAGGAAGACCGCUGGUCCCAAGAAACCAUCAAUUUAAAUUGAGACUAGAGACAACUAGAAGUCAAAUUGCAACGAAUACUAAUAAACAUAGGAUGCUAAGAUUGGUGGGCUGCAAUGGACAAGACAGGAAAAAAAAUGGCAUUAGAAGCUAAUAAAUAGAUUUGCAAGUUAUUAUAAGCUACCAUUGGUUGAGUCCUACCUGAAGACUUUGCCCUAAAGACCACUUAGAGAAUUUUCUAAAGUCAAAUAAGGUAUGGAAACAGUAGAUAUGAAUGCUUUCUUUGAGAUAUAAACCUUAUACAUGCACAAACUGACAUUAAUCAUAGUAGCUCACACUUCAGCAGUACUUCACAAGGAUGUUACCUUAUCUUCACAGAGUAUCCCAGUCACUAGUGCCCGGUAUAUCUUUGAGAUUUUCCUCACUGCAUGCGCCUCCAUGGAGGUAUUACUGCAUUGAUGUUGUAGAUGUCAUUAGCAAAGUGAAAAAGAUUAUGACUCAACUGAAAGAAAUCUUAAGUCUACAUAGAGAAUCGGAUAUUAUCUCAUUGUGAUUACUGACAAUGUUUUCAUUCCAAAAAAAAGGGGAAGCUAAAAGCAGAUGUGAGCAAGAUGGAAUAGGUCAUUUCUCUAACCUGUUAUCUCCAAUAUUAGAUGUCCCGUCAGCAAAGUAUGCUGCAAGUUGAGUUUUGGCAUGCUUCGUCUUUGCACAGAGUAAUAUUCCUAGAACCAUAUGAGACCAGUCAACACGAAGAAUAUCAAGAAGUAUAACCAUCUCUGUUAGUAACCAUAACAAUGAACAGAUUUGCGCGAAUAGUAUUUAGAGCUGGAAAGUGAGCAACGCAUUGUGUACAAAGGAUUUUGUUAUUUAUAAAUGUUAUCUAGUGAGAAACAAUGAACAAAGCAUGAAGUUAUGCAUCUUUACAAGUUAAAAAUCAUGACAUCUAUCUGCAAUGAAGCCUAAAACAGAAAAAGGAAAGGAAAACUAUGUAUACUAACAUGAAACUUCUCUUGACACAGUGAUAAAACAAAUUAUGUCUAAUGUUUUAAUGCGCAUUAAUUGGUAACUAUGAAUAUUUUCAAGGCCUUGAUGAGUAUGGGUUGGGUGCUUAAUUCAAUUAGUAAGAUAGAGCAUGCAUCCAAAUCCUCUCAUGUCCACAGCCAUAUAUAUAUGAAAACUUAGCCACAGUGAUUGAAAAGAAAGAAAAAAAAAAGGACCUCAUUAUUUUAUUCAGCAUUGGAAUUCAUGAAUACCUGAAGUGCCUCUUCCUAAGCGAUGAACAGGAACAGGAUGUGGUUCUUGGCAUGAUAAGGGAGAGAUCUUAUUUGUUGCCCAACAUAGGAGCUGUGUGAGAACUGUCCGUUGCUGGAAAAGACCCCCAGGUAAAACUUGCAGGCCAGAAGGCUUAUUUAGAGCAAUCUGAAUUCAUUAGUACAACUUCACGUCAACAGCAGUCAUCAUAAAAAUGGUUGAAAACAGACAAUAAACAUUAUAUGCAGAGAAACCAUACAUAACUCUAAUGCUUUAUUUCAUGAAAACAAAAUUCUCAGACAAAAACAAAUCUUGAAUUAUUUUAAAGAAUCAAAGAAAAUAAUUCUUAUGUUUGAACCUGUACAUUCCAAAUUCUCAUGCAUUUAAAAAAUUUAAAAAAUUACCAGUAACACUGAUAGCAUUCACCUAAAUCUUUCACAGUGCACAACUUCCAUAAUUUCAAUUGUGGAAGUUAAGUCCAUAAUUUUUUACAUUCCAUUUUUUGCAUUCACCUAAAUAAUGUAAAAUGAGUUGUUUAAAACAGUAUUAAAAACAAUGAAUCUACUUGAGGCCAGUUGUUUAACAUCACUAAUCUUGAUGAAAAGAAGCAAAUACAGACACAGCAACAAAGAUGAAAGAUAUGAUCCAACGCAUAGAAACGAUCACUAACCACAGUGAGACAUUUACCAUAUCAUCAUCCUCAUAUAGAACCCCCAGCAAGUAUGGCGCAUCAGGCUCUCUCCACGGAAGCCUAUGAUAGACCAAUUCCGAACCGACCCUAAACAAAUUGAUUAUGUCAUUGAAAAAAAAAAAAAAAAAAAACAUAAGAAUCUUCUAUAUGCAUAAGAGCAGACAGAAUAUAAAGCCAUAUAGCAUCCAUCAAACAAAUAACACCUGAGGAUCGUACUGGGAUCUCUAACAACUUCGCCAUCAACUGUUAUCUGUAGACCAAUAAAUAAAGCUGAGAAUUUCCAAAGCACGCGUUUACAUUUCUCAUAACAAACUUUUCCAUGAUUUUCAAUAUUCAAACCUGGCCGUUCCGAAUUCUCUGCAACCAACUGCAAAACUAUCAUCAGUACAGAUUUUAUAUCGGUUCUUCAAAAUAAGCAUAUUUUUGACUGCUUAAAAGACCAAACUCAAUUCUCCAAGCAAACAACAGAGGAUAGAAAGCAAAGAAAGCAAUAGCAAUGUGGCAGAAGUUGGGAUAGGCUGCCUGCUUACCCUUGUAGAGGAGCUGAGUUCUUAUACUUGCUCGAGUAGAACUCGAUCAGUGUCAGUUCUAUAAUUUACACCAACACUAGGAGUCAAAUUCAGAGAAAGAAAACGACGGUGAAGUUUAAAUCCAAAAAAGCAUCGAUUUUUAGCGCAUGGACUGCGUUUGGAUGCUGAGAAAAUGCAGUAAAGGAAAAAAUAUAUAGAAAAGGCUAUCUUUAUCUUUGAGAAGAGGGAGAGAAAGAGGACCAGAAUCGGAGGCUCGAACGACGUCGUUGUAGAGCAAGCCGUGGUUGAGAUCGGGCCAGGGCAAUCCGAAUGUCUGAGGCUGACGUGUUGGCGAAGAGCUGGACAUUGUAACUUAUGCAAUUCAAUUUUCAACCCAGAAAGAAAGAAAAGAAACUGACUUUCAGUGAAGAAUGGCUGCUGCCUACUGCCCGACGUCGUUCCCGGGUCGGUUUCCGACCCGCAACUGAACUGACUUCUCCAAAAGUUUGUGUGCCCGACUGUGGCUAAUGUGAAGUUUGAGUUUUGCCGGUAUUCCUUUAACCGCUACAAACGGAAAAAAAAAGAAGGAAAUUUCAUUUGUUAACAAUAAAUAUUUAGGGACUCUAUCUAUCCAACCGACAAUGUAUAAGAGCAUUUGCUUGUGCAUCUGAAGUUUUAUGUUCGAUUCUUUCUUUUACAUUUGUUUGUGCAUCUGAAAUUUUAUGUUCAAUUCUUUCCUUUUACAAUAAAUACAUUUGAUUGUGAGGUUGUUACAAAUUUAAAUAAAUGAAAAUUAACUAUUAUUUGAUAAAUACUCCAGCCAUGUGACCAUUUUGAUUAGGUCUUUCUAAACCUUUAUCGAUGAUUGAUUUAAAUCUCAUGAACAAUCAUCUCAUGAACGAUAAUUGUUGAGGUAUAAGGAUUCAAACUUGUAUGGUAGUGGAUAAGAACCAAAUUAACCAAUAUUGAAUUUUAUAGUUUAGACUAGAUUACCUUGUACAACUAUUACAGCUCAUUUCCAUCUCAUCUCUCCACAGGAUACAGGUCACAUAGCCAAAUACAUAUUCAAAAUGCAAACAAAUUUGGACAGUUGACCCAAAUUGGACGGGAACAAUAAAAAAAAAGGAAAGAACUUCGAUUAAAAAAAAUAAAAUUCGUGAUUCGCAUGAUACAUUUAUUCUCCUCUUAAGUCUUCAAAGGACACAGACUCUGUUUAGAGGCACAAAUGAACUUAGUACAGGUAGACUCUGUAAAAAUACAUAGAAAUGAUGGAUCAAUGCCAUCAAAAUUCCAAUAACAAUCAGCAGAACACAUCGGUUGAGGAAGAAGGCGUAACCUGAAGAGCAACUGAAUUCCACUCCUCAAUGUCAUUGCAGUGACCAGUUUUCGCUUUAAGCACCUGUAACUCGCUUGUCCCACCAACAGAGGUUUCAGUCACAGACAAUUUUUUAGCAGCCACUGCCUUCAGCCGGUAUCGCUCUGCUCUCGAGCCAAUGACCUGUCCUAGCACUGAUGCUGCAAUGGUAAAAGCCAUGGCUGAUUUAGGCAUCAGCACAGACUUCCGAAGUAUGGCUAUGAAUGGAACAGCUGCAUGCACAGCAGCAAACCAAGAUGGUGAAAAUUUCUUGGUGUGCUCCCUCCAUACCCCUAAAGGAACAUUGGCUGCCAUGCCCAAUGCUCCAAUCACAAGUACUUUUUCAGGAAGGGGUUGUGGGCGGAGGUUCUUUGCAAAUGCAGUUCGUGCCAGAGCUGCUCGGGCUGCAACUAUAGCUGGUGGGCACUUAAUUUUCAUCCCUGGAGGGGGCUGAAAAGCCUUUGCAACAAGCGGAAUUACACCACUAACAGCACGGUAUGACUUCGCGAUCGGACAGCUUCCAGAUUGCAGCCACUCAUUACUCAAAGCCUCGUGAUUAGAAUUUCCUCCCUGAAAAAUCAAUUCCAAAUAUGAUAAGCACCGGGAAAAAAAAAAAACUUGUCUAAUGAUAUGAAGUAAAAAAUUCAACAAAAUCACAAGAAAUUUCAAAACUUAUAAUAUGUCAAUUACUCAGCAAGCUGGGAAAUUUGUAGUGUGAAGCAACAAUCAAUUUACCUUUGAAGAAUAAUCUUUUUUGGAGGAAUUGGAUUUUCGUUUCUGAUUCUUCCACUUCUCAGAGAAUGCAUCAAAGCUGAAUGGCCCUCCAAAGGAUGAGAGACUGAUAGUGGCUGCCUUUGCAGCUAAUGGAUUAAACAUGGAUGGGGCUGGUUGAGGCUCAACCAUGUCAGAAUGCACAAAUGAUCUUCCAGAAAGGGGGACUACCCCAUCACUCCCAUGGAAAAGCCUAAAUGCCAUGUCAAAAUUGGGACCAUCUUCAAAAAUUGGACCUUUGCCGCCGCGUCCCUGAUCAAGAAAAGUAGAAAGUAGUAUCAGAAAAUGGCUCAAUUUCAAUCAAGCAGCUGUAAGUGCCAAUAGGAGAUGCAAAUAACCAAAAGUACGCCUACAGUAACAUAGAAAACAAUAGAAGAUGCAAAUCAUCGAAAGGAAAUAUAACUUACAGGCACUGGGAAGGCCAAGGAUGAGGCAAAGGAAAAAUUGGUGGGCUCAUUGAUGUUUCUCAAAAACGGGCAUCUGAGAAUGUCUAGGUCAGAAGGCACACAAUCUUCAUUUGCAACUUUGAAAAAGGAAUCCAUUCUUAAUGCGGAGAAAAGUGACCUGUAAAACGAGGUAAAAUGCAAAAUCAAUAACUCCUGCUUAGUACGAAGAGUAAGAAAACACAUGCUUCUAAAUGUUACCAAAAAUAUGAACAUGCCAAUAAUCAGAUAUUGAUGCAGCAUCUAAGGUAAACAAAUAGUCAUCACAUCAUAAAGUUGUCAACAUUAUCUUGCAAGCACGAGCAUCCAAUCCAGGUCUUAGUCAAGAUAAAAACCAAAAUUUCUCAAAAUUCUAAACCCACCCACAGGCCAAAACCGGCAGAUAUUAUUUGGUCAAAUGGAUAGUCAUCGAAAAAGCUUAUUCUGAAGUUGAGAAAAUGCUAUGCUUAGAACAAGAACUAAAAGAAAGUCGAGAACCCCAGUUAAUUGAAAAUCAAAAUCAGGACUUUCCUCAAUCUUUACUUAAUAACACAAAAUCUGUCACCAAAAUAACGAUCUUGAUUAAAUUACGGAAAAUCCAUCAAUUUAGACCAGUCAAGACUCGAGUUCAACAUCAAUUGGAAAUCGUCGGAAAUCGUCAAGAUUUCAUUUCCCGAAAAAUAUUAUGCUGAAACAAAUCAUCCAACUCAUUUUAAACCUCUUAAAACCCAUCAACUUACUCCAUCCAAAUACAUCAAUUUAAACUGAAAAUCAAACAAGAUUACCAACAAAAUCAAGAAAGACAACAACUUUGAAGAAUACAAUGCAAUUCACGAAGGCGUCAAUUCCAAACCAGAAAAUUACAAGAACCCAAAAGCAAGAAGAUAGAAAUCGUACCUUGAGAGAGAUUUUGCGAAGGGAAGAUUGGAAGACAGAGAAAGCGAGAGAGAGAAAGAGAGAGAGAGAGAGAGAGAGAGAGAGAGAGAGAGAGAACAAGAUGAAGAUGAUGAGGAAAGGUAUCGGUGGUGUUAGGUGGAACCGAAAUUGACUUUCGUUGGGGAAAAUGAGAGAGAGGGCUCAGAAGGCUUAAGAAGACGACGUCGUGGUGAGCACACGCUUUUUUACUUGGAUGGAGCUCUCUAAGUUGGAAUGGGAAAAGAAUUCGGUUUCGGACCGGUUUUGGUUAUUCGGGUCCAAUCUAUGACGUGGUAAGUUGUUGAACGUCUUUGAUAGCGGGGCCCACCCGAGUCCAAGUCCAAGUCGCUGUUGGUGUGUACACCACGUGCCUUUUUUCAUUUUUCAUUUUUGUGUGGAGUGGAUGAAUUGCCUUUUUGUUGAAUAACAAAUAUUAAAUAAAUAAAUAAAACUAUUUCAUAAUUUCUUCUUGGUGUGUGCAGCAAUUAUGAGAGACGUGUUUCACAUUUUUUUGGCAUAUCACGUUUUCACUACUUAAAUUUGGAGCUUUAUGAUCGAUCGUAGAGUUAGUACAGUUUUUUUUUUUUUUUUCCAGUUAAAUCACAUAUUUAUUCUUAGAUUUUGUUUGCAUGUUUAAUUUAAUAACGUCUUCGGAUAAAAGAAUAACCAUUCUUAAUCAUUUGAACUUUACAAACUCGUUUUUUAUUUAUAAAGAUUUCACAUAAAGGACAACAAUGAAGGUGUCCACACAUCCCACGUCACUGCUGAAGUAAGAUUUGAUUCUAACCUCUACAAUUGACUUUGUCAUAGACUGUAUCAUUCAGGCAGUUAAGACUUUAAGCCAUGGACCAAAACAAUAAAGCAAAAGAGAUUAUUUGUUGUUUUAAAUUUUAUAAUCCCCAAGUCUAACCAUUUUUACUGAAUUUCAGUCAAACUCAUACAAAUAGCCAUCUGAUAUUGCCAGUGGCUGAGUGCAUUUUCAUAUUACAAACAGGAAAUGUAAAUGAGACAGGAACGCCUCUAAAUCAUGGAACAAUAGAAGGCUGGCUGCUAAUUGUAUAGAAAGAUAUGAAAGUGCAUACUUCAAAUGAUGAUUAUAUGCCCAUGACUAAACCUACAAUCUUAGACAAAAAUUCCAGUUCUCUGCUAAAAAGAAGGAUCAGGUCAGUAGCCUAAGAAGAAUGGAACUAGCAAUUAUCAGUAACAGAGGCCUUUGGCUGGGAGAUGUCCGUCUCUGCAAAAGUUAACCUAUAUCAUACAACCUAUUCGGGAGUUGGCUCCUCGACAGAUUUCCUGUAUUCUGGUUUCAGCUCAUACGUCCCUUGAUUAGCUCCCUUGUUGUUGUAAACACAAAGUUCCUUAAGUAUGUCUUUCAAGAAUUGCUGCAAAGGGACAAAUUCAUAAGAACAGUCACAUUUCCAAAAGUACGAGUAGAAGGAUGAUAUAACGAAAAGCUUAAAGUUAAUCAAAGAUCAUCAGGUUAUUGGUGUGUUACAAGUUCAAAGGAUAAGUUUCUUAUCUAGCUGCCUUUAAAUUAUGUUUUUCCCACUUAAAUGCAUAUGGGAUUUAGUUUCUUGAUUCUGCUCAUCUUCUAUAUUUAACCAUGUGUAAUGCAUUCAUCUCAAUAUCUCUCAUACUUCCAUUAGUAAAAGUAGCAUUAUGAUUGCCUAAUUUUGUGCUAUUUAACAGGGAGGAUGUCUUCAAAUUUCCUCUGUUUGGAAAAUUUUCAGCAAUUUUCCUUCUCAAUAUUUAGUAAGGUGUCUGUACGAGGAUAUUCAGGUAACUUUCCUUGUCAGUAAAGCCAUGCAUGUAUGAAUACGGUAUAUGCAAGUAACAAGAUGGGUCUUACAUUAAUCUGGAAAAAGACAGAUUAAGAUAGUAAUUCUAAUAUUAAGAUUCAAUGGGGGAAGGCUUAUAAAUCAUGCAGAAAGAAAUAACUAGAAAACAUAACAUACUUCUGGUUGAUCUGUUUCUUGGAUCAGUUGUCUUAACGUCCAAUUUGGUUGCCUUUCGAAGAGCUUAAACAUAAUGGCUUCCAUUUCUCCACGGUCCCUCCUUGUUCUUUUCGUGUCUGACCCCUUUGUUGGCAUUUUCUUCUUUUCCUAUAUGAAAGACAAUUCUUCUUAUGCUUAAUACUUAAUGGUGGAUAAUCAAUACUAAAAUCAAAUGCCAACAUACAAAUGCAGUCCCAAAUAAUGUGACUGUCCAAUGGAAAGCAUGGACCACUUUUACUCAGGAACGAUAUGUACAAAAAGAAGGUGGUUUCACGUACACUGGGUCCAGGAGCUAUAAAACCAAUCAUCCCUGGCAUAGGCCUCAUAUGAGCCCCAUUGUCAUUGUCAAUCACCUGAAAAUUGGAAAAAAGGGACAAAUUAGUGAUUAUACUACUGAUAACUCUUAGAUUACUGAAAUAGAGUUUGAGAAAAAUAUAUAAAGUAAUCCAAGGAACCUGAAUCUUUCUGUUUUUCAUAUACUUUUUCGUCCGUUCACGGCAAAGUUUCCCAUAAUUCUCAAGGUUCUCAUUAUGGGGCUUCAUAUCAAAUUUGUUCAAAAUUUUCCCCUCCACAGAUAACUUUCCUACGGUCACAAAAGAAUUUCACACAUUCAGUUGAGAGUGCACAAUGGACAGCUAAAGUUAAUAUGUGCUUGCAGCUCUGUUGAAGUAAUAUAACCCCAAUCAAUUUUUAACAUUAUGUUUCUGAUUUCGAGUAUCACACCUUGUAAGCAUAUCUUUCGCUAAAAUAAAUUGAAGAGUUAGAACUAACAAGAACCUAAACUAGAAAUAUGUGAUACUAAAAUGUAGCUGAGAAGAAAUUGAAUUCCAAUCACAAAUUUAAAAAGCCUAACCCAGGAACUUGGGUAUUUUCAUUUCUUUGUGGCACUAAAAGCUGAUUUCAACACAAAACCGUGCAAGCCAACAAUGUUAUUCUUCUCUACCUAUGAUGCAACAAUCUGUUGGAUGUAGCAUGUACCAUUUUAACUGAAGUAAAAAACUAUCAAUUUUUAAAUGCUAGCUUUUAACAAAAAUAAAGGAGCAGAAAAGUUUAGCAUGAUGUCAAGUGGAUACCCAACUAGAAUAGAAGCAUCAAUAUGUCAAGCCAAAUGCAUUUCAGCAAAGAAAAGCCACAGAGGAAAGAGGCAUACUUACCUUGUGAUAACUCAGAAAACACAGACAUUGGAAUGAAGUCUUUAGACAUAUCCAAAGAGUAACACUUGGGCAUAUUUCCAGAUUCAGUGGCCGCCAGUUCCAUGGUGAACUGCAUUUUAACAACUUAUGUAAAGGAAAGGGCAACAAAAGAGGAAAUCUACAUGGAUGAGUGAUACUAUCAUACUAUAAAGAUGAAGACUUUAACCCAAAACUUUGUAGAACAAUAAAAAUUGAUAGAAAAGCCAGGACCUGGGUCAUGAAAACCUAACUUGUAAAUUGGGUUUGGAUAUAAACACAUAAAGAGCUGAACUCUAUUAAACCCACAUCAUGAAAAUUCUUAACCCCAAAAUGAAAACUUUGGGAAAAAUGAUAAAGAAAGAAAAAGAAAAAAAAACACAAGAAAAUGAGCAACAAAACCCAGCAAGCAACAGAAAAUCCAUAGAAAAGGGCAUGCAUAGGAUCAAAGACCAAAGCUUUAUAAACAAGAAAAUGCACAAGAAUUACAAAGAUUAUGACCGAAACAACAAUGCAUGCACAAAAAAGUAAAAACCCAAAAGGGAAAAACGUCAACUUUUUGAGUUGUCGAGUAAAUGGAAAAGAAAAAGUACCUGAGGAGAGGAAGAGUCGUCAUUGGAGUUAAGAGGGUCAAUGGAGAGAACGACCUUGGCCACAGGGCGAGAAGACUGCUGAUCAGAUGGAGAAGAAGCAGAGGCAGAAGUGGAGGAGGCGUCAGGCUUGAGACUUUUAGCGACAAGCGGUGGGCAUUUCAUGAGCCAAACAGCUCGCUCUGCUCUGGUCGUCUCCAAAGGCCCAUUGGCAUUGUUGUUGUUGCUGCCUUGUUGCUGCUGUUGCUUUUGGUCUUCCAUGUUGGCGCCACAGCCACAGGGUUCUUUGUUUAUUUGUUGAGCUUUUGAGCUCGAGAGAACGAAAACAAACGGUUUUUCCGGAUCUUUCUCCAACAGUAUGCUUUCGCUGCCUCGGACCUGGGGGCCAUUGGGUUUUAUUUAUAUAUAUAAGAUAUGAAAUGGACUCUAUUUUUGUUUACUCGUAAUUUUUUCUCUCUUUCUAUUUUUGUUAUCGGGUGAUUUUAUUUGUGACAAUCGAUAGCACUAGGUGAGAAUCGAAUUGAGUUGACUCGAUUCAAGUACUCAUCGGUUCAAGUCAUCGAUUUAAGUACUCAUUGGUUCGAGUCGAUUUAUGGAUUUGUGUAACUUUGUCUUAAUUCAUAGCACUAAGUGACUCAUCGAAUCGAGUCGACUCAUCGAUUCAUGAAUUUGUAUAACUUUGUCCCAAUCCAUAGCACUAAGUGACUCAUCGAUUCAUGUCGUGUUUAAAUCAUAUCAUUUAAGUUACUGUUAAAUACUUUGAUUUGUUUAUUCAUGUCGUGUUUAAAUCAUAUCAUUUCAAUUAGUGUUAAAUACUUUGAUUUGUUUAAAUAAUCGUGUCGAGUGUUUAAACCAUAUCAUUUCAGUUAGUGUUCAAUACUUUGAUUUGUUAAAUAAUCGUGUCGAAUGGCCUAACCCAAACCCGACCCAUUUGUUUAAUCCUGUUAAGUUGUGGACAUGUGUUAGGCAUUAGUCAUACAUGGUAGAGCAUGAACAGAACAACAUCCAUUUUGCAAGGAUAUGGAGAGCUUCUCCCUUGCAAGAACAUGCAUUAUAGAAAGAGGUACAACCCCAAAGAAAAAUAUAUAAAAAUGAUGUAAAAGCUUGAAUUUUUGGAAGAAUAAUAGUUCCAUUCAUGCAAGAAUAACAAAAUGAACAAAUCCGAUUCCCGAAUUUGAGAUUUAACAUAGAGAUAGAGAUAAUACAAAUAUGCUAAAAUAAUAGAGUAUAAAUUACACUCAACAACAUCUUGAUAUUUUCUCCCGUUUCUUGAGAUCAAGCCAUAGCCAAAAAUAGUAUAUGGGGUAAGAUUUGUAAUGGUGAUUAUUAAAACCAGUUUAAGUUACAUAGUUGAGUAGAGCAGUGUUCAUGAUGGAACUGAAUCGGAGUUGUUGCUGCCGAUGGAAUUCUGCUUCCUUUCUGCUUGAAGUGAUCGGCACAAGGAUUCAAGCUUUUCUUUCUGAUUCUUUGUUUUCUCCAACUGUUUCUUCAACCGUUCACGCUGCUCAGACCAACAUAAAAAUCUGUGUUAUUCCUCAUCUAUGCUGUUUCUUAGUAAGGCAUCAUAAAGGCAUAUGCCUGAGUUCAACGUUUGAUGUUGAUUGAUGAGUAAUUGAAAGAAAAAGAAACAAAAAGGUGCAUGCAAACUAUACCUCAUCUACGAGUUCUAUAAGAGUAACAUCUGUUUUCUCACAUUUGCUCUUCAAGAAUAAAUUUUCCUUCUUGAGUUCCUUGAUAGAUUUUGCCAUCUACGAUUUUGCACAUGUAACAAACAGGGUAGCUUAGUUUAAAACAAGCAUAUCAUGCGAGUUACACCAUGCUAGAGAAAUCAGGAAAAGUGUGUCUAAAUGAAAAUGUAAUUUGAAGAAUAAUUCACCUUUUCGAUCUCCUGUUUAAAUGUCUCAAAAACUUCAUUGCUUUUCAACAAUGCAUCCUACACAACAAAUAUAAUACUUAAUUAAGACCAGAUAGAGUUGUGUAUUGAUAACACAAACAUUCGGCUUGAAGCACUUGUGAGGUGAUCCGCCAAGUAUCUGAAAGGUCCAUUCUGAAAGAAGAAUGCUCAAAUUGAGCACAAAGAGUAGGUUGCCUUCUCUUCAGUAUUGCCUACUGAAGACAUACAUUGGAAGGCUCUAAGCACACUUUUUUUAAUAUUUGAAUGAUAUACAUAGAGCAAGGAGACAGAUGGUGAGUUCACUUCUGCCAAUCAAUUUGAAAGUUGCCAAUUUUUGGCCCAACUCUCAUCCUGUUAACAACUAGGACUUAUAAUUCCAAGUAACUCAAAGAUACAUAGAGCAAGGAGACAGGUGGUGAGUUCACUUCUGCCAAUCAAUUUGAAAGUUGCCAAUUUUUGGCCCAACUCUCACUCUGUUAACAACUAGGACUUAUAAUUCCAAGUAACUCAAAGAUACUAAUCACAGAAAGAUCAUGAAAUCACAAGUUAUUGAUAUUAUCCAUCGAUAACCAAGGUAAUCUCUUUUCUUUGUUUCAUGACAUUGAAUAACAUAUCAAUUAUGCAACAACCAAUCUCCUAGAGUGUAAUCUACGUGAGACUCAACCUACUAGCAUGGCUACAUAACUAACACCAUACAGCCUACAGGGAAAAUGAACCAACUCAGUUUUGUACUCUCGAGAAUUCUGCAGAGAAAUUUGACAGCCUCUAACUAAGUAGUUAUUCAUUCUGGUGACAGUUUCAAAGUAAUGGUUUAAAGCAACACAUAACACAGAAGUUGACCUGAAAUUGUUGGAAUUUCUCUCCAUCAGCUGUCAACUGUAAGCGCAAAUUCUUUUCAGUUGAUAGUAACUGUGACACCUGUUCUGCAUAUAGUUUCAUCUGGGACUGUUCCUGGAUUAACUUCUCUUCAUGCUGCUUAAUCUUCAAAUCAGCAAUUUGAAGCUCCAGAGACUUCUGCUUUAACUGUUAAUUCAAAACAAAGCCACUAAAGAAAAGUUAAGUCCCUACCUAAUAAAGUAAACAAUCAUUAUAGGUAAACUAACGUCUUUUGUACAAGUUACAGUUAAAUUUUACCUUCUGUUCAUAUUGCUGUUCAGAAAGAGCAUACUGAUAGGUGAGCUGCUGCAGCUUGGUUCUUAACCUGAAAAUGAAUGAAUGCCAAUUUAACUAAUUUUAACCAACAAAGACAAAUUAUAGACAGCCAAAAAAAGAAAUAAACCAAUGAUAUCAAUCAACCAAGUCAACAAAAAAGAUACAGAUUCUUUGUUGUCAGAGAUUUAUAACAAACAAUACAUGACAUUAUCCUAUAUAAUAAUAUAUGACACAUAGGAUGAAAUUAAUCAAGUUCAGUCUCAUUGACACAUGCACGUGCAAGGGAUCUCCAAGUUAAGUAAUUCAAGUUUGCUUCAGUAUAUGCAUCAAGAUAGUAAGCACAUGUUUUCAUGACAUCUGGCUCUUACAUUUCAUUCUCCUUUAGCUGAGAGAUACAUUCUUCUUUUUGCUCAUCUAGCUUAUUGCUCACAUCCUAUAACCAUAAGAACUUAAUGUUAGAAUAUCAUUUAAAAAAAGGCAUUGAAAAACAAAUAAUGCACUGAACAGAUAAAUUUUGCUUUCAAAAUGGAAAGGAACUAGUUCUGAGUUCCAAUGUUUGGAAAGAAUACAAAACUUGUUAAUUAACUGAACUCUUAUUGCUUGUAUGCGCUCUCUUGAGCAUGUAAAUAAUCAUGAUUCAUGACAGAACAGAAAUCUUGUCUGUUUUUCCUUUUCAACACACCCAGAAUUGUAAGUUGAGAAAAAAUAUGGACAUUGAGUGUUUGGAACUUUAAAAGAUCUCAUGUUUUGUAGUGUAUAAUAGAGGUAAUGUUUCUUCAACCUUGGAUUAAUUUUACCUUGUCAACUUACAAAUUAAUAAGCCAACAACUACAAAUAUUCAAAUCCCCUGAAGAAAAGCUAUUAUAUUAUAAAUUGUCAAACCUUUAUUGCAUCUUGGAACUUGACUGAUAAAUCUAAUCUCAAGUUCUGCCCCUCUGUUGACACCCGCUUACACUCAUCCUGUUUAAAUGAUCAGGAAGCCAUCAAUGUUUCUAGGUGGGCGAUCGAGUAUUGAUCAACUUCACAACUUAUCAUAUCAAACGGUAAGAUACAGUCAAAGUAGAGAAGAUAUCGACAUAAAAAUUGUAAAAGAUCACAAGUCAAUAAUGUGAACUUAUCAUUUCAAAAUGUUGAAUAUAGCGGACAUGAUGAUAACAGCAGAUCUUAUUUAGAUGAACUGAAAAGUUUCACUCAACUCCACAAAAAUUUAUCCUUUUUUUCCUUCACCAAAUAUUUCUCAAUCACUAAUGAUAGAAAAGAAUGCAGAAUCACCCAAUGCACCCUUAAUUCGUGAAACAACCUAUGCUCAAGCUCAAAGUAAUGGGAGAACGAAGAAAAACAUAAUCAAUACUUUCGAGUGCCUCUUUGCACAUUUGCUAUUUUACUAAAAAAAAUGAAAAAAGGAAGACAUCGAGGGCAACUUGUCACAGGCCUGCAAUGUAGUUAAGUGAGCUUUGUCAUGGGAUGAAUAAAAGGGAGUCGUACAAGGCCCAGAUAUAUGUAUUAAGGGUACAUCCAAAGGUUGUAAAAGCUAGUUUCUGACAUCUACUUCAAUUCACCAAUGGCUAUUAAUAGAAUGGUCAAAUGGAACAUAAACAAGUUAAAGAAUUACACUGAGAUGAAAAUUAUGAUAAUGAACAUCUAGGAAAAUAUGAAAAUAUGAAAGUUCACAAAAAAAUCAUUUUAAGGAUAUGCAGUCAGUCAAGAUAGCAUACCAUUAGCACUUUGUUCUGGCGUUGUAACUCCCUGCACAACGACUCAAGCUUAUCUCGAACAGAAAUGGCUAGAAAGAAAAGAGGAUGCAAGUAAAUAAAUAAUAAAACCAUCUACAAUACUGCUCAUAAUCAAUAAAAAUCCAUGUAUAUAUACAAUGAAGGUAUGCCACUGCACUAAGACUUCGCAAAAGCUACAUCUUUCCAUCAGAAAUUAAUCUUAAUUUAGGUUAUCAACAUUAUCACAUCUAGUUACUGAUAAUUGGCAAUUAUUCAUCCCCUUUGACUUCAUGAAAAUUUAUGACACACAAACAUCAUAUGUGUAAGUAGUCCAUUUCUACAUCAACUAUUAUACUACCACAUAAAUGCAUUAUACUUAACAUUCACUGUUCCUAAACAAAUAUAUGAUUUCUCCCACAAUAACCCUAUCGGAGGUGUAAACAUCAGUAUAUUAGUUAUGGAAACACUGGGUGUAAACAUUAGCACAACUAUCUCAAAAUACCUGAAUCUCUUUCAGCAAGAACUUGUUGAUACUUCAAGGUGAACUCUAUGAACUCCUUUUCUGAUUUAAAGGUACGCUUUGCACUCUUACGUUUGGUUUCAGUGGAUUCCUGAGGCAAAAUUAGUCCAAAUUACUAACCUUACUGAUGACUUACAUGUAUAACAUAUUUGUGUGAUAGGUAAACAUUUAUGUGUCCGUGGGAAUGUGGUUGCAGCUACACAUUUUGAGUGAAGAUUGCAUCACAAAUAUUAGUCUCAACAAAGAAAAUCACACACACGAUUUCUUGCAUAGGUUGCAAGGAUCAACAACUGUACAAAUUGAUAUCAUAUAAAAAAGAGAUCAAGUAAUACGUAGUACUAACUGUCUUUUUGCUUUUCAGAGUUUCAACACUCUCCAAUGAUGAUGUUUCCUUCACAUUGGCUGCUGACGAAUCUGAGCCUCCUUCAGUCGCUGAAAAGCAAUGAGAAAUGAGGGUGGCAAACUAAUGUCAAGAGAUCAAAUGAAAAAGACCAGAUAUAAUAGUACACAUUUUGACUUAAAUUUUUCAAAAAGGGAAAAUCACAAAGGUAAAGAUAUUUACGUCUCUCUGAACUUUGACAUCUUGCUUCAACUUGUUCCUUUACCUCACUGCAUUCAGGUACCCCAACUGAAGUCUCAGAAACAGAAUCAGCUGAGUCAGGCAUGACUAGCGUACCUCCUUCUUCUGUCUGCUCCGUAGAAGCCCUUUUGGGCACUUGAACUGAUUCCACUGAAACAUCAGAACUAUCAGUUUCCGAUAAUGGAACAGGAAAGGUUCUCAGUUUCUGGGUCUUCUCUGUCCUACCCUGACUUGUUUGAAACUCAUCUGCAGCCAAUUCUUCUACAGGUUCCUUUGAACGAUCUAUAUCUGAGGCAAUAUCAUCCUCACGAUUGUCCAGUGGCUUCUCUUGUUCAAAGGUUGGAGUUGGAGGAGCCAGGGGCUCUGGAGGGCUCUCAACAAACCCAUCAGGCAAUGAAUCAACUUCAGGAAGCUGAUUUGCUUCUGGGUUCUCCAUUUUUACCUACAAUCUUCAUCAUGCAUUCUUAGAACCAUCAACAUUUAUACCAUCCUAAGAAUUAGAACAAAAAAGCCCAUCCCUUUACAGAGGGAUGAGAGAGCAAGAGCCAGAGACUACAAUCUAGUUUUGCAGCUGCUGUCAUUCAGGAAACGGCAACACUAGAACCCAUUUGGUUGCUAAGAAAAUUUGAAGAGAACCCAAGAGAAACUCAAAAAGAUUCCAUAUUUAAGCUGUUUAAGAUAUCCUAGAAUGAAAUUGAAGAAGUGCCCAAGUAAAAAACCACACCAACUAUGGCUAAAAUCUCAACCUUGGGUUAAAUUUUCACACUUUCACUGGGAAACCAACCCAUAAAAGAAACAAAUUCAUUCUUACUUUAUCAAGAGAAAAAUAAGAAAGAAAACGAAAAUUUCAAACACCCUAACAAUCAACCAUCGGCAUCAUUGAGCAAUCUGAACAGUAAUCAACGAAAAUUGAGAGAAAAAGAAAUGAAACAAAGAGAAAGAAGGAGACAUUACCAGGUAGAUUAUGAAAGAGAGAGAGAGAGAGAUUGAACUGAGACAAUGGAAGUGAUCUCUCUAUCUGUGGAAAGUGUCCAGUGCGUGCGUUCCGUAGAAGAACUGAUCUUUGUGCUGCGCUUUUUUCACUCACCUUCACUCCACCUAGUUGUUGUGUUAGACCGAGAGAACGACACUUUUCGUUCUCCUAAUUUAUUAAUUUUCUCUCAUAUUUUUCAUUAGUCUGAAUUGAGCAUUUUGUACCCCAAUUCAUUUUUAUUUUUAUUUUUAUUGUUUGAUAAUAUUUCCCAUAUAUAUAAUUUUUAGAAGUUAGAAAGGGAAGGGGGAAUGUCACAGACACUAGUACCAUGGCAUACACGAUAUGUUUUCUCAUAUUGAACCUAUAAUCCUACCCUUCAACAUGUAGCAUAUGAGGUUGUUGAGCCUACCACGUAGAUAGUAUAUUCUUAUAUCAAUGACUAUUCAUGAAAAUUGUGAAAAUUUGUUCAAACACAGAUAAUUUUUUAAAUGAAACUUCAAGAAAUGUUAAAUCGAACAAUAAUUAAUCUAUUAAACAAAUAAAUUUCAUAAAUACCAUUUGUAUGAUAAUUAUAUAAAAGAAAAAAAAAAGGAUAUGACACUAAGUCAUAAGAAAAUUAUUAUAGUUCAAAAGUACAUAUAUAGUACGAAGUGACAAGUUUGGUCUUAAAUAUCAAGGUUUACUAUUAUAAGAGUUUUAUUUUAUUUGACAUGUUUAUUAAAUAUGCUCUUCAUCUAUAAUUAGAAUAAUACGUUACUUUUUCAUAAAAUAUAAAGCCAAAAAAACAAAGUUUCCGUCACGCAAAAUCAAAUGAGAUGAUGAUUUGUACCAUAUUCAACAGUUAUAAAAUAAGGAUUUUGAAGGAGAGCUAGGCAUGCACAAAACAUUCCUAUACCAUAUGAUAUGGCUGAUAUUAAGAAGCUAGGUAUGAUGGGGGUGGCUAUGGUGCUAAUUCUGUCCACCUUCGCCACAAAAACUGUCUUUAUCGCUGCUGAUAUAAUUAACGGCAAUGAGCUUAUUAAUGGUAAUGGCAACGGUAACAGUAAGACUAGGUAUCCCACUCUGAUGAACAGGAUAGAUAUGGGAGAAGGUGGUGGCGUGGGCAAGGGCGGUGGUGGGUGUAAAGGUUCUAUAUGCAAUAUGCUGGUGCUCCCUUGCAAGAGUGGGUGUUAUUGCAUCCCCUUUGGAAUUUUGCCAAUUGGGGUGUGCGCUGGUAUAUGUUGUAGCAGCUAUAUCAAAUUUAAUAUACUUUUUAAGUUCAUAAUAUGUGCAUUCAAUGAAAUAAUAUUGGUGGAGACAAUGUCUUUCUGAAUUUUCUGGAAAGAUGAGAGCCUACACCAACACCAUCCACAACAACAAACACAAAUAGGAAACGGACUUACACGAUGAACCAACUUACAAUAUACACAAGUCACCAAUUUAGUUGAGGGAUAUUAAAUUCAUGAGCAAGGAGAUAUAAAUGUUGGAUGCAACCAAAUUAUUUAAGAAAAUCUCUUAGGGCAGGAAAAUGUUUCCACGGACAGUCGAUGGUGGAUAGCUCUUCGUCCCAAAUUCCAAUCUUGGCCACCCUUAAAUUUGAAACUUUCACAUGAAAAUUGGAGUAGUUCAUGUAACAAUUGAAAUGAAACUCAAAUAUCCAUAUAAAGAAAUCGAUUUGGAGUGUUGAUUGUCGAUACAUUUCAAGUUCAAGAUCAUACCGAGGAGCGGAAACUGUGAUGGAACGAGUGUAAAAACUCAACCCACUUCGUCCCAAAUGCUCCAAUGCAACUUACUCAUUCUAAGGCUGAUAUCUAACCCUUUGACGCUUUUCUCAAAUGAGAAAUUCAACAACUUAUCUAUAACGUACGGCUGUGUCUUUGCAAAAGUAGACCAUGCAAAUUCUGAAUUUGGCUAAGAGAUCAUUUGUGUGCUCGUCUUUCUCAUGAUAUUACCAAAGACCUUGUCAAGAUAUUGUUGAUGAACUUUUUAUGGCGGAGUAAGUUGUCGGCAAAAGACGACAUCGUUGGGGGUAAUAAUCAUCAGAGUUGCUACUCUCGUCAAAAUCCUUGUAUAUUAUGUCAUGUUAAAAUAGGUUUAUUAGUGAAAUCCUCUUUCUUUUUCUUUCAUUCUUUUUUGUUCUCUCUCCCUUUAUAUUCAUCCUGAAAAGCCUUUUUAUUUCCUUGUCAUAUCAAUUGUCAAAUUAGCUAUCCACCUGAAGCUUCCUUCAAGUUUCACUUUUUUGCUACUUUUAUUUUCCUGGUUUGUCGAUGGGGUUUUUUUGAUUCGUGGGUUUAAUGAGGUGUAUCUAUUUGGUUUAGGGUUUGAAUGUUUUGGAGGACACAAAAAGAUAGCGUGAUUAGUUAUCUAUGAAACCGAACAAGGCACGAAAUUAACAUGAGUUAUUUCUAAGUUAGGCUGCCGUAUGGUACUAUUUCACAAAAGACUAGGCAGAUCCCAAUGAGGAAACUAAAUCAUGCAUAUUGCAUGCAAUUGUUGGUUAUAAUAACUUAUAUAUAAAUUACUCAGAAGAAGUAAUUAAACAAGAGCUCAAGAGAGAGACAGAGACAGAGGGGUACGUAGAAUCAAGAUAUUGGAAAACUAUGGAGAUGAUGAGCAACAAGUUAUGUUUUGCUGUGGUAAUGACCAUGGUGCUUACGGUGUCCACCUUUGCUCCAGCUGCCUAUGGAAACCCUAGCAAGAACAAUAUUGCUGAAGCACCCGCCUCUAAGCCUGACGCCAAAUGUGAUGCAAAAAUAAUCGAUGCCAAUAAUCUCUACGAUGGAAAUUUUGGGGUAGCUGCUCCCAUGGCUAGUCGUCUCAACGAGGAGAGCUUGGCGUUGAUGUCAGGGAGGAUGAAACAGCCAGAAACGAGUGGAGGUGUGGGCACCAUCAAUGGGUGCAGAGGCAACCUCUGCAAUUUUUUGGUGGCUCCUUGCCAGAUCGGCUGUGUUUGCGUUCCCAUUAACAUUGGACCUUAUGGGUUCUGCAGUGGCGUCUGUUGCUAGCUAUAGCUACUCCUAUUAUAACAAAUUAAUGUAUCUGCAUCCAUGAUCUAUCCAUUCAUGUAUGCAUGGAUGCAUUUCAUCUAAUCAUGAACAUCUACGUACUGAUCGAUUCUUUAGCAUGAAAUAACGUCGAUCGUAUAUGUACACGUACGUGUGUACUUGUGUACGGUUGUUAUGUUGUUGUCUAGUAUUAUUUAUACUAUUGGGAGGUAUGGGUUUAUCUCAUGCUUCUUUUCUCUUAGUUUGGUUUUCUUCUUCUUUUCCUUUCAGCUUUAUUUCAUCUUUUUGUGUUAUAUUGUGUUGGGUUAGGUACAUAUCACCCCUUGCAACUCUUUUCACUUGGUAAAUUAGGCUCAAAUUUAAAAUGUUAUGCCAACCUAACAUUAAAAAGAACACCUAUAAAAACCAUAUAUUAAAUAAAGUGUCCAAAGAUCAACUUUGGGUUUCCAUAGAAUUACUCCAUAAAAAAUUGUCCUGGGCCUACAUAGAUAGCUUACCCUCACCUAAAUACCGAAAUACAACCUAUGUUACAAGAAAAAUUCAAAGCUGGCAAAUCGAAUUUAGGACCUCAGGUGCAGAGGUAAAUGCUCUUAAUCACUUGAGCUACAAGCUGCUUGCAAUAAAAUAACAACUUUAGUAAAACUAGCUUUUUUACACCGAUGAGAGGGAGAGGAAAGAGAUUCAUUAAUUAUACUUAUAUAUAAGUUUUGAAGAGUAAUGUUAGAAAAACCACAAGUGAAUACAUACGCAUUUAUAUAAGCAUAAUGAUGUUUUAAUCAAAAUACUAAUUUAAUACGUCAACUUGAUCAAGUAUAGUUGUAGGCUACAUACAAUACAAACGCAAUUAUCUAGGGAAAUCUAAAGUGCAUUAGCAUUUAAUCAAUCAAUUCCAACAUUACUCACCACUAUAAAUAAAGGUUCAGGAUUUCCCUAAAAAAAUUAAUCAUAUUCUGAUAUUCAUAUAAUGGAGGGUAGCAAAGAGGGGCUUGUGCUAAUUUUAUUAGCCAUUUCUUUUGCAAAGUGGGGAAGGCAACAUUUCUUUCUUUGUUUCUAUACUUGAUCACGCGGAUAGAAAUGACCAGAACAUGGCUGAGUACUUCGCAAUCCAAAGAAAAGAAAUGCGUGGACACUUUUCAAAAUAUGAUCGACUCAAAUGUUGCGGAGAGCCUUAGACAAGUGACAAAAUCAAUCGAUGAGGUCCUUGGUAUGAUCCAAGUGCAGCAGCAACAUCAUCUUCAUCGUCAUAAUAAUGUUACUGCAGCUCCAGGUUCAGAUCCUGAUCCUUAUGAUCCUGCACUUUCACGGACGGCAGACGUCACCUUGUCACAGAAUGAGAGUGGGAAAUUCAAGAGAAUAAUGGAUGCCAUCAGGGACGGAUCCAGGAUUUCAAACUUGACUGAGCUAAAUUUAACUUACAUAUAAACAUACUAAGGCCCAGUUUGGGAUUGCUGUCACUUUUAAAAAAAGUUGCUUCUGCUAUGCUUCGAAAAUAAUUAGCUGUAAAGUAAAGCAGCUCCAUGUUUGGUAAACAAAAUUUGGCAGCUUUUAUUUCUUCAAUACGUAAGAGUUAGGUUAUUGUGGCGGCUUUUAACUAGAUUAACCUUAGGUCCCUUCAUGCAUUCAUAUUAUACAUGAAAAAUUAGGGGUGGGCACGGUCCGGAUUGGUUCGGUUUUACUCUCAAACCACAGCUGAACCAAUAAGAAAAUAACGGUCCGGUUUGGUUCGGAUUAGCCUAAAAUCAUAAUAGAAACCGAACCAAUCCAAACCACUUGUAAUCGGUUUGGUUCGGAUUGGUUCGGCCGGUUUGUGCCUAACACAAAACCAUGCAUUUUUCAACCUGCUCUUACAUUAUAAUGCUAACAUUUUGCCAUUAUAUCAUUCCAUUCCAUUCCAUCAAAGGCUAAUACAACAUCAUUCCAUUUAUUCAAAGGUUGUCCAAUGUCUAGCAUGCAUCUAAGUUCACAAUUUCCAUCAAAACAAACAUAUACAAAAUUUGCAUUAACCAAGUAGCAUUAAAUUUACUCAUUGCAUUCAUCACAAUACAAACAAAUGAAAAGCUUUUAUCACAGAGAGGUAAAUACUUUUAUCACAGAGGUGGAGUUUGAAUGCGUAUGAAAUUAUGAAAUGGACCCAUUAAUUAAGAUAGAUAGAGUAAGAAGAGCCACACAACACAAAGAGCAAACACACAUAGUAGAGAUAGAAAGAGAGGGAAAUACAAGCACACACAAAUAACUGGGAUAUGCAAAUUAGAAGAUCAAAACGUGCACCAAUAUUCAGAUACGCGG